CCUACGGGAGGCAGCAGUAGGGAAUAUUGCACAAUGGAGGAAACUCUGAUGCAGCGACGCCGCGUGAGUGAUGAAGGCCUUCGGGUCGUAAAACUCUGUGAUAAGGGAAGAUGAUGACGGUACCUUAUCAGAAAAGACCGGCUAACUUCGUGCCAGCAGCCGCGGUAAU
rnacentral:rRNA from 1 species